rnacentral:lncRNA from 1 species
CAGCCCGGAGAACCUCUAUACUCAUCCUUGCAUACAUAUACAUUAUCACAUUGACAAUUACAAGUUUAACAUAUAGUAAAUUGAUUGUGUAUUUGAUCGUAUCUCGAAAAGACAAAACUAUAUCAGGUUUACUAUAAAGAGACAUUGCAUUGUGACAGAUUAGUCGCCCGGAAAACUUUUCAUUCUAGCAGAUUUUUUGUUUAUAAUUUACAUAACAGAUUUCAAAUGAUUGAUUUUAAACGAUUAGACAAACUUUUAUGCCUGCGGAAGGCAGUGCCACUUGUGUAGGAACACAGCUUUAAAUGAACGAACCUUAGAAAAGUUUAUAGAGAUGCUACACUCAUACUGUUAUUUUUACAUAGGACUAAUGUUUACUGAGAAGGUUAGUAACAUACAAAUGUUAAAUUUAUAUAAAGAGGUGCAUUGUUCAGAGUAUGCUGUUGAACCCAGUGGACAAUCUACAGUUUCAAAAAGAUCUGUAAAGCUAUUUUUCUAUUGCAUGUAGUCUAAAGGUUUGCUUUGUUUGUAUAAAUGUUUGCUCAAGCAUUGUAAUUAAGAUUGACAGUUGCAAUCAAAAGAUAGGCCGGGCUGCAGCUAGCAUGUUUUUAUUGAUGCUUUUAGAUCUAUCCAAAGAUUAAUACAAACAAAGCAAGCAAGCCAACUAAACCUCUAAACUACAUGCAUAAGGAAAACAGCUCUAAACACACGUUAUUGAUUGCCUUUUCAGAGAGCAUGCAUGUACUGAUUAAGGAAAUACAGAAAUUCAUACAUGUAUUUGAAAUUGUUAUCAGUUCUGCCUUUUUCCUGUAAAACAGAAAUUUAUUGUGUAUGGCCAGGCCUUGAAGUCAUUAAUCUUUGCUCAGUGCUCGGAGCACAAAAAUCAUGUUCGAAACAUAAAAUCAAGCAUUUUGAUUGGUUGAUUUUGGAGUAUGAGUACAAAAAAACUGACUCGAAAGUUUUAUGACUUCAAGGCCAGGUGCAUCUUUAAUCACCCCAUUGAAUGUUUUCUACCUCCCCACUAGAAUGUACACGACCAUUUAUCUUAAUCAUCAAGUGUUCGGAACUGUACAUCAGAUUCUUUGAUUUACAAUCAUAUUUCUUUGACAUUGCCAUAAUAUUCUUUAUUUACUAUUGAAGAGAUAUAUGUUUGCCUACGCCUGUAAAACGAAUGCAUAACACAACAUAUAAACGAUGCUG